UUGACAGAGAGAACGCCGAGAGAGAGAGAGAGAAAUAGAGAGAGAAGAAGUAUUUCGGUGUGAAUCAAGGAGAAAGGAGCUUGAAUUGAAGCUUUUGGAUUUUCUAAAGCUUGGAUUUGCAAGAUCUUUACAAGAUUGAGAUUUGAGCUUGGAUUGAAGUGUGGAGGUAGGAGGAGAAGGGAUGGAGCAAGGGUUUGAAGAAUUGACUAAGGUUAUUUGAACUUGGAGAAGUGGUUGCUAGAGUUGUGGUGAGGUUUUUGCUCAAACGAGGUGAUAUAAGUACUAGCGCUAGUGCUCCGACUACGGAUCAGCAGGGAGGAGCGUGACGCGGAUGGCCUGGACUUGUGGUGGUUUGUUGUGUUAUUUUUGUGUGAUGUUUGAUUAGUCUUUGGCUUAAUUGUAUUUUGGGAUAUAUACGUAAAAUGUGGGAUGAAUGAUGAUUUUGGAUGGUUAGGCUUGAUGCCUUGGUAUGUAUGUGUGUAUGAUGAUUUAUGUUUGGGAUGAUCUGGCCUGAGGCCCUGGAUAUUUAGUUGGUGGUAUGAAAAUUGUUGGUUUAAUUGCUA